AUCAACUGACGCCGCCUGUGCAUAAAGAGCUAGCGGGGGGAGGAGGCACUCCGAGAAAGCAAAGGCAAGGCCAUAUCAGACUAUCUGUAAUGUGAAUUUUUUUAUCUUCAAAUGGGGCUGCUGGAGAUCAGAUCGAAGACCACAAACUGUCAGCAUCAUCCCAUUGCAAUCAUUAACAGCGGCCCCAGGGCCAGCAGUGCUUUUCUACAGAAUACACCUGUUGGAUGACUAAAUGGCUCCAAAAGGCAAAAUAAAAAAAAAGAAAUACAAGUGCUGCCCUUGUUUGUCAUCACCAUCUUUGCAGGAAGAUGCCGCUGGAGAGCAGCUGACACAGUUUGAAUCAGAUGAAGAAAUUAAACUUUUAUAUCAGUUUGGAAGCUAUCUUGAUUACAUAGAAACUCCCCGAAAAGAUCAUGGCAAAGUGAAAGGCAAAUCCAAAAAGCAUGGAAGAGAAUGGAAGACACAGGAAACCGAAAGGAAAAAUAAGCCUGAUCUUUGCAAUGGAAAGGAAAAUGUGGGUUUGUGUGAAGAAAACACUGCCAAUGACACUGAUCUUAAAAAGAAUAAAAUUCUUAAAAAGAACAAACAUGAUACUAAAGCAAAAAGUUAUUUGGAUUCAACAAAAAAAACCUUUUGCAAUAAGCAAAACUCCUUUGUCCCCUGGCCUUUUGUUGAAAAGAAAGCAAAGAAAAUAAAGCUACUUCAAGAUAACAAAGUAAUUGAUGGUAAUGAAGAGAGCUCUAAAGAGGUAAAUCACAAACAAUAUUAUAAAAAUUCUAGAAUAGUACAGAAGAGUAAUACUCAAGUCAAACAAAAACAUCUCUGCCUUCCCUCAUCACAUACUUCUUUUGUAACUGAGAAUGGUAAACAUAAUGAAUUAAGUUGUAGAAAUAGUUCUUGGUCUCAGACAACUUGCAAACGUGAAGGUCUUGAUUCUACUGUGCAUUAUUUUAGUGGUGGAAUCAUAGCAGGUUUUAAAAAGCGCAGGAAAUUGGAUAAGGAAGUCCCUGUUGGCUGUUUACUAGGCUCCAACACUACUGAAAUAAACAGCUGUACUAGUAGUACAGAGCCUCUUUUGUCAUCUAGUCCAGCAGCUCUGGAAAUUAAAACUUAUGACUCAGAAGAUGAAUUCAAUGUGGAAACCCUGAGGGAUAAGGCAGCUUCUCAUAUGAACUCAAAAACUGAAGCAAUAUGCAGCAGCACUGAUCUUAGUCAAGAGCUUUUUAUAACCCAGAAGUCUUUUUUACCAGUGCAGAUUCCCAGUAAUAGCAGUACUUGCUUAUCCCUCUACAGUCAAAACCAUGCUAAAGAUGCAAGUGUAGAAAGAAGGUUUAAACAAAAAAUCUCUGGAGAUACUUUGGAGUUUUCUCAGAUGUCUUCAAAUAGAGAAACAUGUGAUGAACACAGUCAGUUUUCUCAGAAUGGUUUGACACCAAGUAGGGGUAGAAAGUCAGCUACAAGAGAGUGUGCAAUUCAGACAGAAGACUUUUUCAGCUCUCCAGCACUUGCUUCCUCCUUAAGAAUGAGAGAGAGAUUUACAGAUUGCCGUGAACAACCACUGGACCUCAGUUUGCCUUACAGAAUUAGGUCAAGUGCUGAGAAUACAGGAAGACCAUCCUUGGGGGGUGCAGGUGAUGGUGUUCAUGUAUCUUGCAAACACACAUUAGAGCCUGUGUGUUAUAUGGAAAAUCAUCCUGCUGGUCCAGUGUUUGAGGAGGAAAGAGAAAAUCAUAUGUUCACUCAAUCUCAAAAAUCAGAUGAGGUGAAAUACAUUCAGAUGCUGCUUAAUUCAUCCUAUUUCUUUAAAGUGAAAGGUGAUUCAGAUAAUAUGGUUUCUAGAACACAGUUAGUGAAGCCAAAGAUAGGAAACAAAAAAAAAACAGUUGUAGACAGCAGAAGACAGGAGAAGUCCUAGCUGAGAAGGGAUUAGUCCUACACAUCUGAAUAAAUAGUGUGCCUAUAGACA
ensembl:lncRNA